UUUCUUUCUUUUCUUUUUUUUUUUUUUUUUGAGGCUUGGAGAAGGCCGCCCCCUGCCGCCACUGAGGACAACUACACUAAUACAGACAAGAGCGCCUCAACAGUAACACACUCAGAGUUGGGGUUUUGCCAUAUGCAACUAGCUACCAUCUCCAAUGCUUGUGCAAAACAAAAAAAACCUUGAAAGUCAGGAGCCGGACAGAAGGGUGAACGGUGUGCCGAGAGCCGCAGAGACCUGGGACGACGGAGAGAGAGAGGAGGAUCAGAUCGCCUCGCCCACAGAGCCUCUCACCUCGACACACUGAGGGGGGAAGUUAAAGCGUGCCAAUAUGGCCAGCUUUCAAGCAACCACCCCUCGGAGCGUUCCCUGUGGUGAAGCUGAAGGCUCUCCUGCGUUGCAUGGUGGGAGACACAACCCUCAGCCCCAAACCACCCCUCAGAUCAACUAGUCUAUGCAGCAGAGCGGAUGAGGAAAACAAAAUGCUCAUUGGGGAAGAGGAAGCAGAAAAAAGGUCAAGGAGGAAGUCAUCAUCUUUGAAAGGAGGAAGGAGGAGGGAGGAAGUCACAUGAUGAGAAAGAUAGGGACAGGUCUUCGCUCAGGCACGGCUCGGUUUCUGACAGGGUCUCUUCCCAGUGCGCCCUGGGAAGUGCGGUCCUCAGCUCUCCAGACUCAUGAAGGCCACCACCUGCUCCAGCUUGAUGGCAAGCCUUUGUUUCCUGGCUGCGUCAUCCUGCUCCAGCGCACACACAAUCUGCCGACCGGACAGUGAGACUGAAUCACCACCAUGGCCCAGGACUACAUGCCAGUACCAGCUGUGGAUGAGGAUCAUACAAGGCAAGCCAAGUAUCUGGACUUGAUGGAUGAGUGCUCCAGAGGCUUUUUAGGGCACCGGGUGCAGAACGCACUCUUAGGCAUCGCAGGUGUGAACAAGAGGAGUGUCCUGUGGACUGGACUGUGCAUGCAACUGAACAGAAGCCAGGGAAUUUUCAAAGGGAUGAAGAAAUUAGAUGCUGAAUGACCGAAAACACAGAAAUUCACAGCUAACAGAGCAGUAGCUUCUACCAAGAAAUAGCAACAUUAUUGUCAUUAAUACCUAUGUAUUUCCUUCAUUCCUUUACACUACAAAUGGCACUCACCACAAGGGACCACAUAUUUGUAUAAAUAUCUGAUUAACAGCUUAUCACCCUGUCAAUCUCUCAUGGUUGCCAGGCGCCAUUAACCUCAGUCUCUACUAAUGCCAAGUGACAACCACACAUAUAAGUCAUUAUAUCAUAAGCCUCGGUCAUCAACAAACUGCAUCCAUUGCUGUGGGGAGCAAAAUCAUAUUAUAGGAGAAAACCACUAAAUGCCAGCUUUAAAAGGCGUUUGCUCUAGGUUACUCUGAGCUAUAAUUGUGUGUGGUGACAUCAGUUUCCUACGCUAAUCUGUGACUAUCCAGGAAGACUGUCUUGUGACUGUGAUCAAAGUACCUUUGAAUCUGGUAGCAUUACUGUGGUGCAAACUUUAAUAAAUAAAGCACUGUAU